rnacentral:tRNA from 1 species
UUUUCUAUGGUGUAAUUAAACACAUUGCAUUUUCAAUGCAAAGCUGUAAUAUUAAUUUCUAGAAAUU